GCCGGGCGCGGUGGCUCAUGCCUGUAAUCCCAGCACUUUGGGAGGCAGAGGCGGGCGGAUUCCCAGGGCCAAGACCAGCUUCAAGUCUCCAUGGUACCAGAAAACAACAACCUCACAGCACCUGAACCUCAAGAAGAGGUAUCCACAAGUGAAAAUCCACAACUCUGAAGAGAAACUACCAAGACUCCUCCUGCCCCAAACCUCGCCAGAGAAGCUCUUCAACCAGAGGGUAUAGGUCAGAGGGAUAUAAGAGCCAGCAUCCAUCCCUGGGUUCUCAGUAGGAAUGCUGGUGCUGUCUAAAGACCUGGCAUUAAUGGAGGCGGAGGAGCAGCCUUACGGGAGGGAUGGAGGGAGGCAGGCUGGGGAGAAGAGAACAUUAGACUCAGGGAAUAUUUAAUUCUGGUUUUAGCAUUAUUAGAAUAAGACUUUAUACAUUAACUAAAGUGGAGCUUUAAUCACUAUAAAAAGCAAAAGUAUCUAUAGACACAGACACUUGCCUAUACAGAGACAUAACCACACACACUCAGAGGAUAGUGAACAAAUCUGUCUUUGACUUACGACCCAUUUUGCAAGACUUAAAGCCGGAAGAACACAUUUUCAGAUUGUUAAAUAAAGUCUGAUUCUGACUA
rnacentral:lncRNA from 10 species